rnacentral:lncRNA from 1 species
AACCAAAAAAAAUUAAUAAAAAUCUGGCUCUCUUAAUCCAUUUUGCUGGGCUUUUCCUCUUCCUUCUGUUUUUGGUGAUUAUAUAAAAUGGCCCACCAAAAACUACAAAUAAUUUUCAAAGGGAUUCGGGACCAAGUCUAAUCUCUAUUCUUAAUAUCUUGUUAUAAGCCAUAUUCUUAAUAUCUUCGUUUGCUAUGCAUACAUAAAUGUUUAUAUGUCUUUAUGAGGAGAACAUGUUACUUUAUGACAGAAGAAUGAGAUGUUCAAUAUGUUCACUUUCAAUAAAAGACUUACAGAAAUUUGCAAAACAUUUUCCUUAAUGGUCUGUCUGUACAAUCUUCUUGCAGCAGCUGAGGAUGUGAUCCAUCAUUUCAUCUACUUCCUUGCAGAGUCUACACUUAGAACUUCUAGUCAACUUUUCAAUUCUGGCUUUGAAGGCAUUUGUUCUAAUUGCUUCUUCUGGAGCUUCAAGGAUCAGGCCCUCAAUCUCCUUUUUCGAAGUUCCAUUUGUGAGCCACAGCCAUGUUUUUUCUCUCAAUUUGCUCUCAUUUUUCCAGGAAAUGUCCAUGAUUAUUUAUUACUAGCUUGGGGGCCCGGCGAUGCCCGGGUUAUUUGAGAAUGGAAUUGUUUGCCUUUGUUCCAAGUUUAGUCUCGAUCCAGUGUCAGUUGUCUUCAAUUGGUAUGGGUGAACUACAACUCCCAUAUGUAAGUCCAUGGUCCAUCCCCCUCCAAAUAGCGCCAGGAUGUAAAGUAGGUCAUGGGGACGCAAUGUGUCAAGUUUGAUCUUGAUCAGUCAUUGGUGUGGGUUGCAGUGGUCUGAGGAAGUGAGUGAAGGUACUGUAAAUCCCAUCUUCCCUGGUCUGUUGUUUCCUCAAAUGGCAGGAGGUCUUAAAGCUGGCCACAUUGCACUUGUGUGUCAUGUUUGGUACAGUUUCAUCAUUCAUGGGAAUCACAGUGGUCUGUGGGAGGUGAAUUGGAUGAAGGUACUGGAAAUCCCAUCAUCCUUGGUGCAUUCUCCUGCAAACCACACCAGGACAUAAUUUGUGUCACAUUGCACCUGUGUGUCAAGUAUGGUACUGUUUCAUCUUUCAUGGGUAUCACAGUGGUCCAUGGGAGGUGAAUUGGGUGAGGGUACUGCAAAUCCCAUCAUCCAUGGCCCACCCUGCGCCAAACUGGACCAGGGCGUAAAGGGGGCCACAUUGCACCUGUGUGUCAAGUAUGGUACAGUUUCAUCAUUCAUGGGAAUCACAGUGGCCUGUGGGAGGUGAAUUGGAUGAAGGUACUGCAAAUCCCAUCGUCCUUGGUCCAUCCUCCCCCAAACUGCUGCAACAUAUAAAGUGUGUCAUUUGGGAUAUAUAUAUACCAGAUUUGGUUCAGUUCUGUCAUAUGUAGCAGUUGCUGUGGUCUCAAGAAGCGAGUGAAGGUACUGCAUGUCCCAUCUGUGUGCCAAAUUUGGUCCAGUUCCGUCACUGGUGGGCAUCGCAGUGGUCUGUGGGAAUCGUAGCGAUUGAAAGUACUACAUAUCCCAUCACCCAUGGUCCAUCAUCAUGCAAACGGCACCAGGACAUAAAGCGCAUCAUGGGGUAGGCUCUCUGGAAUUGUGGGAGUUGGAGUCCAAAACACCUGCCCAAGUUGGCCCAUGCCUGGUUUAAAGGCUUCCAUACAAUCCUAGAGUUAGAAGGGGGGCCCAUGGAGGAAGACACCAUCCAAGCCUUCCCGACAGAUGGCCAUCCAGUCAUAAAUACGAUUGGGAGAUAGAGUCCUAGAUUUGAAAGGGGUCUCUGAAGGUCAUCCAGUCCAGCCCCUUCUGCUGUAAAGGAAGACACCAUCCAAGCCCUCCUGACAGAUGGCCAUCCAGUCAUACAUACGAUUGGGAGAUAGAUAGAGUCCUAGAUUUGAAAGGGGUCUUUGAAGGUCAUCCAGUCCAGCCCCUUCUGCCACAAAGGAAGAGACCAUUCAAGCCCUCCCGACAGAAGGUCAUUCCAACCAUACAUACCAUUGAGACAUUUAUUUAUUUAUGUAUUUAUUUAAUUCUGAUAUUUCUCCCCUGCCUUUCUGCAAUGGACCCAAAGUGGCUUGCAAGGUCAUUAAGCCACGUGCUAACAUCCACCAUAUAAAUAAAACAUAAAAGUAAUGUCAAGCAAUAGUAGUAUAAAUAAGAAAUAGCAGGGUUCAGUGGGGCAGGUGAACUACAACUCCCAUAUGCAAGUCCAUCAUCCAUGGUCCAUCCCACUCUAGAAGUGUUCAUAAGCAUAUCGUUAAAAAGAUAAUAACAAUGUUCUCUGCUGUCUUUUGAGGCAAGUAGGGCCUUACAAAGAAGUUGAAAGCUGAGGCAAGAUGGCGUCUUCCUUUUCGGCCUAGCAGCGAGGGGCCAGCCUGGAAGGCCUUAAACAUGUCAGCAGAGGGGCCAAAGGGGGCCCUCCGUUGUCAGUGGGUUCAUGGGGUGAUGUGUGUCAGGUUUGGUCCAGGUCCGGCCUUUCUGGUGGUGGCAGUGGUGUUUUGGAUUACCAAAGUGUAAGCCGAGGCUGUUAACUGUCCCAAAGCUAGCAUCGUUCUGAGGAGAGAAGUAGGCCGAACGAAGCCAGUUGGUAGUAGUUUUUCCCUCAGCGAUCCCAGUGGCCUGUGAAAGUGGCAGCCAAUCAGAGCUGGCCCAUAUUCCGGCUGGCCAAUUAGAAAGCUGAUCCAUAUUCUGCGAGGCCAAUCAAAACGCGAGCACAUAUUCCGCCAGGCCAAUCAAAACGCUGAUACAUACUCCGAUUUCACUUUUAUUAUAUACAGUAGAGUCUCACUUAUCCAACACUCGCUUAUCCAACGUUCUGGAUUAUCCAACGCAUUUUUGUAGUCAAUGUUUUCAAUAUAUCAUGAUAUUUUGGUGCUAAAUUAGUAAAUACAGUAAUUACAACAUAACAUUACUGCUUAUUGAACUACUUUUUCUGUCAAAUUUGUUGUAUAACAUGAUGUUUUGGUGCUUAAUUUGUAAAAUCAUAACCCAUUUUGAUGUUUAAUAGGCUUUUUCUUAAUCUCUCCUUAUUAUCCAACAUAUUCGCUUAUCCAACAUUCUGCCGGCCCGUUUAUGUUGGAUAAGUGAGACUCUACUGUAUAUAGAUUAGUAUUUUAUUGUAUGACACAGCAAACAAGAUAGAUAUGCUGGAUUUCGUUUCACAAAAUCACAAGUCGAACACUUCCCAAGUGUCUAGGUCUGUGUGAUGUAUUUUCAGAUGAUGCAUGCAGAUCCCAGUAGGGUGGCCUUUUGCAGUUGACAGAUCAUAAUUUUGUCAAUGUCUAUUGUUUCCAAAUGCCGGCUGAGAUCUUUUGGCACAGCACCCAGUGUGCCCAUCACCACCAGGACCACCUGCACUGGUUUCUGCCAGAGUCUUUGAAUCUUGAAGUCCUGAUAGCGACUGAGUUUUUCCUGUUGUUUUUCGUCAAUGCAGCUGUCACCUGGGAUGGCAACAUCAAUGAUCCAAAGCUUUUUCUUUUUCACAACUGUGAUAUCUGGUGUGUUGUGUUCCAGAACUUUGUCAGUCUGGAUUCGGAAGUCCCACAGUAUCUUUGCGUGCUCAUUUUCCAAUACUUUUGCAGGUUUGUGAUCCCACCAGUUCUUUGCUGCAGGGAGGUAGCACUUGAGACAUAAGUUCCAAUGGAUAAUUUGGGCCACAUGGUUGUGCCUCUGUUUGUAGUCUGUCUGUGUGAUUUUCUUACAGCAGCUGAGGAUAUGAUCAAUGGUUUCAUCGGUUUCCUUGCAGAGUCUGCAUUUUGGGUCAUCAGCUGAUUUUUCGAUCUUGGCCUUAAUUGCAUUUGUUCUGAUAGCUUGCUCCUGGGCUGCAAGGAUCAGGCCUUCUGUCUCCUUCUUCAGGGUCCCAUUUAUGAGCCAGAGCCAGGUCUUAAUAAAUAAUAAUUUAUUAUUAUGUAUUAUUAUUAUUAUUAUUAUUAUUAUUAUUAUUAUUAUUAUUAUUUUAUGACACAGCAAACAAGAUAGAUAUGCUGGAUUUCGUAUCACAAAAUCACAAGCUGAAUGCUUCCCAAGUGUCUAGGACUGUGUGAUGUAUUUUCGGAUGAUGCGUGCAGAUCCCAGCAGGGUGGCCUGGUGCCCAACGUGGGGCUCGAACCCACGACCCUGAGAUUAAGAGUCUCAUGCUCUACCAACUGUUGUUGUUAUUAUUAUUAUUAUUAUUAUUAUUAUUAUCAUCAUCAUUAUUUAUACCAUGCUUUUUCCCUCCAAUAAAGAGUCUCAAAGCAGAUUACAGUAAAACUGAUACAAUUUGAAACCCGAAAGCUUACAUAGAAUUACAUUUUGACAGUAUUACAAUAAACAGUGAAAAUUCUUAAAACCGAUUAAAAGUCUAUUCAUAGCUAAAACCACAGCACCCCCUGACUUGAUCUUAAACAUCUUCAUCUUUAAAAAUCUGCCUGAAUAAAAAGGUUUCAACCUGCUGCCGGAAGGACAGCAGGGAGGGAGCCAUUCAGGUUUCCCUUGGUAGGGAGUUCCAGUGUUGAGGAACAGCCACUAAGAAGGCCCUUUCUCACAUUUCCACCAACCUAUGGAGGUGGAACCAAAACAAGGGCCCCUUCUGAAAAUCUGAAGGCCCAGGC